UAAACGACUCUCGGCAACGGAUAUCUCGGCUCUCGCAUCGAUGAAGAACGUAGCGAAAUGCGAUACUUGGUGUGAAUUGCAGAAUCCCGUGAACCAUCGAGUCUUUGAACGCAAGUUGCGCCCGAAGCCGUCAGGCCGAGGGCACGUCUGCCUGGGCGACACAC
rnacentral:rRNA from 1 species